rnacentral:rRNA from 1 species
GAUGAACGCUGGCGGCGUGCUUAACACAUGCAAGUCGAACGGACUGAGGGAGCUUGCUCCCAAAGUUAGUGGCGGACGGGUGAGUAACGCGUGGGUAACCUGCCCUAUGCAGGGGGAUAACGUUCGGAAACGAACGCUAAUACCGCAUAACCUAGUCGGUUCGCAUGAACUGAUUAGCAAAGAUUUUAUCGGCAUAGGAUGGACCCGCGUUAGAUUAGCUAGUUGGUGAGAUAACAGCCCACCAAGGCAACGAUCUAUAGCCGGCCUGAGAGGGUGAACGGCCACACUGGGACUGAGACACGGCCCAGACUCCUACGGGAGGCAGCAGUGGGGAAUAUUGCACAAUGGGCGCAAGCCUGAUGCAGCGACGCCGCGUGAAGGAUGAAGGUCUUCGGAUCGUAAACUUCUAUCAGCAGGGAAGAAUACCAUGACGGUACCUGACUAAGAAGCCCCGGCUAACUACGUGCCAGCAGCCGCGGUAAAAC